rnacentral:lncRNA from 1 species
AAUACUAAGUUGAAUAGGAGUGGUGAGAGAGGUCAUGCUUGUCUCGUGCCAGUUUUCAAGGGGACUGUUUCCAGCUGUGGGUUUGUCAUAAAUGGCUCCUAUUAGUUUGAGGCAUUUGCAUUUUAAAAGGGGAAGACCAAGACUCUGGAAUGGUUCUCUCCAGUAGCAAUGCUGUUGGAGAGAGUCAUUACCUGGAAAUGACAAGGGACUCUGGAGAUCAGAGGUUCUUUGCAUUUUCACAUACAUUUUAGAACAUGAUCAUCAAUUUCUACAAAAAACACUGCUGAGAUUUUGUGGAACCACAUGAAUCUUCCCAAAUAUAACUUGGCAUGCAACUAUAUUUAUUCGGGAUCUAUUCAUGUUACUCCUUGACACAGAGAGGACAUGGAAGAGGAUCAAACUAGACUGCAGUCACAGAAUUCAAAGGGUCUGGCUGUCUCACCCAGGUUAGAGGGCAGUGGUGCAAUCUUGGCUCACUGCAGCCUUGACCUCCUAGACUCAAGCAAUCCUCCUGCCUCAGCCUCCUUAGUAGCUACGACUAUAGGUGUGCUACUAUGCCCAGCUAACUUUUUGUAUUUUUUGUAGAGACAGGGUUUCACCAUGUUGCCCAGGCUGGUCUAGAAACUCCUGGGCUCAAGUGAUCCUGCCAGCUUGGCCUCCCAAAGUGUUGGGAUUGCAGGCAUAUGCUACCACACCCAGCCUAUGGGAUGGUUCUUGACAUCAGGGUGUUUUCAGCCUAGUUAGGAAAGAUUAACAAACUUGGACUGAUUAGCCGAUAGUUAAGUGCUUAAACUACCCAAUAAGUGAAACAGACAUUAGAUAAGUGUAGGUGUUAAGUAUGACGGAACAAAAUACAUAGGAGGCUAUUUCAAAAGGAUGAAGUGGCUCCUUGUUGUUCCACAUUCCUGCCUCUCCCCGCCACCUAGGACUGAGCCUAGUGUGUAUCUUAAUUAAGAAAAGUGGUUGUAAGAGAUAGAAAUCCCUUAAGCUCACAGAAGUGAAGAGGAAUUUAUUCUAAGGAUCUGGGGACAUCUCAGAGCAAGACCAGAGCAGGAGGUACAGCUGGCCUCGUGCAGACAACAGGAAAGCAUGUGAAACCAGCUCACCUGUUCUCUCUGUCACCAUCUCUCCCUGGAGCAGUGGGACCUCUCACUGCUGCUGUACAACUAAUUGAUUCUGGGCUGUCAGGAGAGCAGGUCAGCUCCCCACAAAGGCAGCUUCUGCUCCUCUGUCUUCAUGACCUUCAAUUAUCUGAUGGUGGCUGCCUAUUCCCAAGUAUGCAGCUGGACUCAUCAUGGGCUGACCCCAGGCUUCCUUGCAGGCGGGGACACUAAGGCCACAGGGCCUCUGCUGAAGGGCUGUGAGGGGCAGGUGUGUUGGGGACAGAGAGAAAACGAUUGGCAUCUCCAGUAGAGAAGAUGGUAAAAGUACAUUCAGAUUCUAUCUCCUGUCUCUGGUUACACAAAGGGAGAAUACCUUUGUUUAGCAAAAGGUUUAAUUCUUCUCUGUUCUCCAGAGGUAAUUCCCCUGGAAUUUGGGAAGUAGAAAUGUCUGUGAUGGAUCACAUUGUAAGUGGCACGUUCAUUUCCAAAGUAAAUUAAGUCAUCAGACCU